GGUGAAAUUUAUCUUAGGACUAACUUAGGAUGUGCGUCUCCUCUUGGUGAAACUAUUCUUAGGAAGUGCGUCUCCUCUUGGUGAAACUAUUCUUAGGAAGUGCGUCUCCUUAGGAUGUGCAUCUCCUAUUGGUGAAACUUAGCUUAGGAAGUGCGUCUUCUAUUGGUGAAACUUAGCUUAGGAAGUGCGUCUCCUAUUGGUGAAACUAUUCUUAGGAAGUGCGUCUCCUAUUGAUGAAACUAUUCUUAGGAUGUGCGUCUCCUAUUGGUGAAACUGACUUAGGAUGUGCGUCUCCUCUUGGUGAAACUUACUUAGGAAGUGCGUCUCCUCUUGGUGAAACUUAACUUAGGAUGUGUGUCUCCUGUUGGUGAAACUAACUUAGGAUGUGCGUCUCCUGUUGGUGAAACUAACUUAGGAUGUGCGUCUCCUCUUGGUGAAACUAUUUUUAGGAAGUGCGUCUCCUUAGGACGUGCGUCUCCUAUUGGUGAAAUUUUUCUUAGGAAGUGCGUCUCUUCUUGGUGAAACU
rnacentral:lncRNA from 1 species